rnacentral:lncRNA from 1 species
UGUAGAGCACAGUGUUUCUGAUGUUACUACUACUUUUUUUUUUUUUUUUUUUUUCACUGCAAGACUGAUGCUCUGUACAUGCAAGGCAAGUACUCUACCAGCUAGGCUAUAAACCCAGCCCCUCAUCCAACUUAAACUUUGUAGCAAUCAACCCCCUGCUUGAUUAGCCCUCUGGGCUAGAACAGAGAGCACCUACCAUGCCAUUUUGUAUAAGCCUCGGAUUAGCUUGAUGAGGGAAACAAGACAUAGGUUUUACUGUGUUCUUGGUUCUCAUUAGGCACUGUGUGUGUGUGUGUGUGUGUGUGUGUGUGUUCACCCAAUCCUGACAGCAAGCUGGGAUCCUGACAUUAGUAGCUCCCUUUUGCAGGUGAGAGGAAAAUCGAGGUUCAGCACGGGCCAGAGGCUUGCCCACAGUCCUGCUGCUGUUGGGAGUACAGUUCAGAGUGGGGAUAGAUCUCUAUCUCUUCUUCUACACGCUCCCGCAGGUGCCUUCACUGCCAGUAUCUCCCACUCCUUUGGGUCUGAGAAAUGCUUAGUUUUGUCUGUGGGGAGCCUCAUCGAACAGUUUCUUCUCACUGGGCUGGAGGGAGCUUCUCACAGUUCCUCUGAGACAAAUGAAAGAACUGAUGGGCCGUGAGGUGGGUAUAGUGUGACUUUUGCAUCAUGCAUGUGACUGUCCAUUUCUCUUUUUGGUAGGACUCAUUUUGAGUCAUGCUUGGUUUCUCCUUUUCUCCCAUUUACACUUUAAAGCUGUGAGAUCCACUUACAAUCACUACCUGGUUAGGAGCAGGGUUGAAGACACCCAUUGAUUAGCAUGGCCUGGGAUUUGGUGACCUAUUAGCUUGCUACCUUCAGUGUUUUGAAACGUGUAAGUGGAACUCAAUGUUGGUAUUCUUAGGGACUUAUCUUACAGAUGUGCUGCUUAAACGACUUCUUCUUUUAGAGAAUAUAGUCAACAAUAAUUUGUUCUUUAAAUAUUUAUUGAGUACCUGUUAUCUGUUUGACAAGAGACUACCUUCUUAAAGACUAUACCAGAAACACACACACAGACACACACACACAGACACACACACACACACACACACACAGACACACACACACACACACACACACACACACACACACAGAGAGAGAGAGAGAGAGAGAGAGAGAGAGAGAGAGAGAGAUUAACUAGUAGGGCUUUGGAAGCGAGUGACUGACAAACUUCCCAUACCCCCCUGUUCCUCUCUUCUCAGGAUCCUUAACUUUGUUCAUUCAUUCAAUAAAUCUCGAGUUCCCGCUGCAUGCCAUGCACAGCGCUUGCUUUAGGAUGUAGACAAAUAAGCUCUUUCUUUUCUUCCAUCCAGAACUUGCUCAGAGGUACACAUGACUGAAUGGUUACAAGUUAAUUGAUGCAUGUGAUGAUUCAAGUGUGUCAGCCUAGGGAGAAAGGUUUCGAAAUGUUCUCUGAAAGAGGAAACAGCUCAGCUAGGUGUCCGAAGGUAGCAGGGUUACCCUUUUGACAGGAGGGUGAGAAAGGGCUAUAUAUACAACAGAGGGUCAAGGGUGAGGGUCAGCAUGCUGAUGUGUUGAGGUUGAUCCUGAGGAGGAACAUCAGAGUCGGGAAGUGGUGAGAGACGAGGCUAGGUACUUGUGUGCGCAGGACAGUCUUUCCUCAUUCCCUCUGUACCAUGCACUAUUAUUACCUGUUUUUGUGGGCGAGGAAACAAAAGCGGAGGCAGUCUGGUGACUUGUUCAAAGGCAGAUCAUUCGGUGAGCUGAGGUGCUUGGGCAUCUUGCUCUCCAGUCAGGCAUUUGGCCUUCACUCCAGGGCCUGCAGGGGCAAGCUGAAGUCUGGUUUUUGCUGGCCAAGAUAACCUUCCUUGUCUUUCAGUCUUUCCAGGGGAGCAUCCCUGGUCAAAUCUUUGUUUAUCCACCUGCCUCUCAGCAUUAGUCCCCUUUGCUACACCAAGGCCGGCUGCCUGAUGUCCCCCUCUCCUGUGGCUUGGUUUUGUCUUCUAUUUAUUCAGCCAACCAGUAGACUAGAAAUGUCAAAAGAAACCUUUAUGUGUGACAAAAAGGAUGAUGAAGGGCUUUUUUUUCUUAAAACAUUUCAGAUUCCUAUGGGAGUUUAGGCAUUACCUGGGACACAUCUGGGAUUGGCAUGGGCAUUGUGGGGGGUCUGGAGGGGUGGAGCAAGGGUCUGUGGCUGGACUGGACUGGUAGGAAGGAUUUGGGAAGGAACGGAAUUCACUUACAAACAAAACUGUUCUGUCUUACCCAACCAUAAAUGAGCUCUUGGGCUGUUGUCUUCAUCUCCCAGAGUAAUUUCUGGUUUGGAGCUGGUCUUUGGUUAGGUGUAGCAUAGAUACUCAAAGUAAAGUUUAUUGAAAAUUAUUAAAUUGAGAACUCAAAGACAGAUCAUUGAAAUUACGGGCUGAAAUAAAACCAUAGAAUU